UACGUAGGGUGCGAGCGUUAAUCGGAAUUACUGGGCGUAAAGCGUGCGCAGGCGGUUUUGUAAGUCCGGUGUGAAAUCCCCGGGCUCAACCUGGGAAUGGCAUUUGGGACUGCAAGGCUGGAGUGCGGCAGAGGAGACUGGAAUUCCUGGUGUAGCAGUGAAAUGCGUAGAGAUCGGGAGGAACAUCAGUGGCGAAGGCGGCCAUCUGGAUCAACACUGACGCUGAGGCACGAAAGCGUGGGGAGCAAACAGG
rnacentral:rRNA from 1 species